rnacentral:rRNA from 1 species
UUUCUCCUGGAAAACGGGUGGUAAUGCCGGAUGCUCCAGUUGAUCGCAUGGUCUUCUGGGAAAGCUUUCGCGGUAUGGGAUGGGGUCGCGUCCUAUCAGCUUGACGGCGGGGUAACGGCCCACCGUGGCUUCGACGGGUAGCCGGCCUGAGAGGGCGACCGGCCACAUUGGGACUGAGAUACGGCCCAGACUCCUACGGGAGGCAGCAGUGGGGAAUAUUGCACAAUGGGCGCAAGCCUGAUGCAGCGACGCCGCGUGAGGGAUGGAGGCCUUCGGGUUGUAAACCUCUUUUAUCGGGGAGCAAGCGAGAGUGAGUUUACCCGUUGAAUAAGCACCGGCUAACUACGUGCCAGCAGCCGCGGUAAUACGUAGGGUGCAAGCGUUAUCCGGAAUUAUUGGGCGUAAAGGGCUCGUAGGCGGUUCGUCGCGUCCGGUGUGAAAGUCCAUCGCUUAACGGUGGAUCCGCGCCGGGUACGGGCGGGCUUGAGUGCGGUAGGGGAGACUGGAAUUCCCGGUGUAACGGUGGAAUGAGUAACUAUCGGGAAAAGAAGACCAA